AAGCUCGCCCUUGGAAGACACGGGUUUGUAGAGCAGCAGAGAUCAGGCAACAGUGGGAUAUGCAGCAAAGACCUUAGAAGGUUCCAGGAUAGCACACACAUGGAUACUUGUAUACUUGUAUACACAUGUUCCUGUAUGCACACACUAACACCAGAGAGCAAGAAGUGCCCUCAACUUUCUUCCCUGUGAACUAGGAAACCAGCAAGAAGCUCCGGUUCCACUACUACUCUGAAGGCCAGAAUCCUACAGGGAGGGGUGUAAAGGAACUGUGUCGCAAUACAAGAUGUCUCUCUAGUUCUGACUAUGGGCCAAGCUGUGAAGUGACCUUACAUCUGAACCUCAAUCUACCCCCUCUUAAAAAACAAACAAACAAAAACAACCCCACCCUUUGCUGAGGACAAAGCGACACACGACAGUGGGAGCUUAAAAGGGAACAAGUCACAACUGCAGGCAAUGAGUUGUUAGGCUGCUGAAGCCAAAUCUAGGGGUAACAUUUCCCUGAGGGAUAGGUGCCACUUCUGGGAUGAUCCUGGAUAUGGGACUGACUGAAAGGGAGAUCAAACUUCAAGGAAAUGGAUCCUGAUGGUCUGCCAGAAACCAAACUCCUCUCGUUCCCAAAGAAAACCUCAGAGUCCCCUCCUGGCUGCCUGCAGAAGAAAGUCUCCUUGCUGCCUUCUGAUCAAGACAUAGAACUCUCAGCUCCUCCAGUACCAUGUCUGCCUGCCCAAUACCAUACUUUUGGCCAUGAUGAAAGUGAACUGAACCUCUGAAACUGUAAGCCAGCCCCAAUUAAAAGUUGUCUUUUGUAAG
rnacentral:lncRNA from 1 species